GGGAAGAUGGCCGAGCGGUUAUGGCGCUACGUUCAGGUCUUGGCAGCGAACUUUCAAAAGUGUCGCUUCUGAGUAUCGUAGUAGGGCAACCUGCGUGGGUUCGAAUCCCACUCUUCUCA